AACACAACCUCUAUGGGAGAGACAUAAAGGAGAGAGCCCUGAUUGAUAUGUAUUCAGAAGGUAUUGCAAAUUUGAAUGAAAUGACCAUGCGUUUCCCACUAUUGCCACCUGAU